AACGAACGCUGGCGGCGUGCCUAACACAUGCAAGUCGAGCGAGGACUCCGGUCCUAGCGGCGGACGGGGGAAUAACGGGUGGGAACGUGCCCUUUGCGUCGGCAUAUCUCUGGGAAACUGGGAAAAAUAGCGGAAGAGCCCUUUGGGGGAAAGGUUUAUCGGGGUAGGAUCGGACCGCGUUGGAUUAGGUAGUUGGUGGGGGAAUGGCCUACCCAGGCGACGAUACAUAGCUGGUUUGAGAGGAUGAUCAGCCACACUGGGACGGAGACACGGCCCCGACUCCUACGGGAGGGAGCAGAGGGGAAUCCUAGACAAUGGGGGAAGCCCUGAUCGAGCCCUGCCGGGGAAGCGAUGAUGGCCGUAGGGAUGUAAAGCUCUUUCAGCUGGGAAGAUAAUGACGGUACCUGCAGAAGAAGCCCCGGCUAACUCCGUG
rnacentral:rRNA from 1 species